rnacentral:tRNA from 1 species
GUUUAAAUAAUUUAAUAAAAAUAUUAAUUUUGUAAAUUAAAAAUAAAUAAUUUUUUUAAACA